AGCAGCCGCGGUAAUUCCAGCUCCAAUAGCGUAUAUUAAAGUUGUUGCAGUUAAAAAGCUCGUAGUUGAAUUUCGGGAUUGACACAUCGGUCGUGCCUUAAGGGGUAUGAACUGGUGUAGUCAAUUUCUCACCUUCUGGAGAACCGCGAUGCCCUUAAUUGGGUGUCGCGGGGAACCAGGACCUUUACUUUGAAAAAAUUAGAGUGUUUAAAGCAGGCAUUUUGCUUGAAUACAUUAGCAUGGAAUAAUAAAAUAGGACGGCAUGAUUCUAUUUUGUUGGUUUCUAGGAUCACCGUAAUGAUUAAUAGGGAUAGUUGGGGGCAUUAGUAUUCAAUUGUCAGAGGUGAAAUUCUUGGAUUUAUUGAAGACUAACUACUGCGAAAGCAUUUGCCAAGGAUGUUUUCAUUAAUCAAGAACGAAAGUUAGGGGAUCGAAGACGAUCAGAUACCGUCGUAGUCUUAACCAUAAACUAUGCCGACUAGGAAUCAGACG
rnacentral:rRNA from 1 species